rnacentral:tRNA from 1 species
GAGGGUAUAGCUCAGUGGUAGAGCGCCUGCUUAGCAUGCACGAGGUCCUGGAUUAAAUCCCCAGCACUUCCG